CCUACGGGAGGCAGCAGUGGGGAAUCUUGGACAAUGGGGGAAACCCUGAUCCAGCAAUGCCGCGUGUGGGAUGAAGGCCCUCGGGUUGUAAACCACUUUUGGCAGGAAAGAAAUCGCCUGUGCUAAUACCACGGGCGGAUGACGGUACCUGCAGAAUAAGCACCGGCUAACUAUGUGCCAGCAGCCGCGGUAAUACAUAGGGUGCAAGCGUUGUCCGGAAUUAUUGGGCGUAAAGAGCUCGUAGGUCGUUUGUCGCGUCGAUUGUGAAAAUCUGAGGCUCAACCUCAGACCUGCAGUCGAUACGGGCAAACUAGAGUGUGGUAGGGGAGACUGGAAUUCCUGGUGUAGCGGUGGAAUGCGCAGAUAUCAGGAGGAACACCAAUGGCGAAGGCAGGUCUCUGGGCCAUAACUGACACUGAGGAGCGAAAGUGCGGGGAGCGAACAGGAUUAGAUACCCUGGUAGUCCGCACCGUAAACGGUGGGCACUAGUUGUGGGAACCUUCCACGGUUUCCGCGACGCAGCAAACGCAUUAAGUGCCCCGCCUGGGGAGUACGAUCGCAAGAUUAAAACUCAAAGGAAUUGACGG
rnacentral:rRNA from 1 species